AAUAGAUACCCUGGUAGUCCACGCCGUAAACGGUGGGCACUAGGUGUGGGCGACAUUCCACGGAUUCUGUGUCGCAGCUAACGCAUUAAGUUCCCCGCCUGGGGAGUACGGCCGCAAGGCUAAAACUCAAAGGAAUUGACGGGGGCCCGCACAAGCGGCGGAGCAUGCGGAUUAAUUCGAUGCAACGCGAAGAACCUUACCAAGGCUUGACAUAUACGAGAACGGGCCAGAAAUGGUCAACUCUUUGGACACUCGUAAACAGGUGGUGCAUGGUUGUCGUCAGCUCGUGUCGUGAGAUGUUGGGUUAAGUCCCGCAACGAGCGCAACCCUCGUUCUUUGUUGCCAGCACGUAAUGGUGGGAACUCAAAGGAGACUGCCGGGGUCAACUCGGAGGAAGGUGGGGAUGACGUCAAAUCAUCAUGCCCCUUAUGUCUUGGGCUUCACGCAUGCUACAAUGGCCGGUACAAAGGGCUGCAAUACCGCAAAGUGGAGCGAAUCCCAAAAAGCCGGUCUCAGUUCGGAUUGAGGU
rnacentral:rRNA from 1 species